rnacentral:rRNA from 1 species
GAGACCCAUGCCCAUUGUUGCUAACGUACCCUCCGGGGUGACGAGUACACUGUGGGGACCGUCUGGAGCUAAUCCAGAGGAAGGAAUGGGCGACGGUAGGUCAGUAUGCCCCGAAUACACCGGGCUACACGCGGGCUACAAUGGUCGGGACAAUGGGUAUCGACACCGAAAGGUGAAGGCAAUCCCCUAAACCCGAUCGUAGUUCGGAUCGAGGGCUGCAACUCGCCCUCGUGAAGCUGGAAUCCGUAGUAAUCGCGCCUCAAAAUGUCGCGGUGAAUAC